rnacentral:rRNA from 1 species
AUGGUAUGCACUGGCUCGCUGACUCCUCCUUCUUGUAGAACCGUAAUGCCAUUAAUUUGGUGUUGCGGGGAAACAGGACUGUUACUUUGAAAAAAUUAGAGAGUUUAAAGCAGGCCAACGCCUGAAUACAUUAGCAUGGAAUAAUGAAAUAGGACGUUCGAACCUAUUUUGUUGGUUUCUAGGAUUGACGUAAUGAUUAAUAGGGAUAGUUGGGGGCAUUAGUAUUCAAUUGUCAGAGGUGAAAUUCUUGGAUUUAUUGAAGACUGACUACUGCGAAAGCAUUUGCCAAGGAUGUUUUCAUUAAUCAAGAACGAAAGUUAGGGGAUCGAAGACGAUCAGAUACCGUCGUAGUCUUAACCACAAACUAUGCCGACUAGGGAUCGGAUGAUGUUAAUUUUUUAAUGACUCAUUCGGCGCCUUACG